rnacentral:lncRNA from 1 species
AGAAGGCUGAGCUCAUCAAAAGGUCGAGCUCAUCAGAAAACUAACAUUAGAAGUCUCAAAAAGUCGAGCUUAUCAGAAAACCAAUCUCAAAAGAUUAAGAAGGCAAGUUCAUCAGAAGGCCAACCUCAAAAGGCCAAAAAGAUCGAGAAGAUCAAGAAAGCCAAGCUCAUUAAAAAACCAAUCUCAGAAGGUCAAAGAGGU